AGGUGCAGCUAACGUUCCUGCGGUGUCUCUGUCCCAGAAAAGACCGGUGUGUGGUCCCGUGUGCGCCAUCUUCUGUAAAUGUGGGAAUAUCCCUGAUGAGAGAGGAUGUCCAACGUGUCGUUGUCGACCAUGUGGACCGUCAAUCUGCCCCCUUACGUCGCUGUGCUCGACCAAUCGAAUGUCGUUUUGGGGUAAAGAAAGUGAACGGUUGCCCCACGUGUGAGUGUAAUCCUGGCCCUGCCGAUUGCUCCAAGGUCGGGUGCCCACCAGAUGUCGCUAUCAAGUGUGUAUGGCGUCAAGAUAAUAAAUGGCUGUCCUUCGUGUUCCUGCAACUCUGGUCCAGUGUGUCCAAAGCGCCGUUGUUUCAGGAUAUGCAAGAACGGCUUUAAAAUGGUCAAUGGUUGUCAAUCAUGUCUGUGCAAUCCAGGUCCAAGUACCUGCCCCAAGAUACGCUGCUCCCUGCUCCAGGCGUGCCGUUUUGGCGUGCAGAAAGUAAACGGUUGCCCCUA